rnacentral:pre_miRNA from 1 species
AGUCAUAUUUGUUUAGUAGCCAAGGAUGACUUGCCUGCUCCAUUAUUUUAAAAAGGCAGGGGCGGGGUUGCAGUGCUCAUUGUGGGUUCGGCUGAACCCAAUAACUUUUGUUCAAACCAUGUGUUUGCAUUAAGAAAUCCAAUAAAUAUGUACAAAUUAUUAAUUUAGAACCCAGGAACUUAAAAGGAUUAUAAUCUCGAACCCAUAAGGUUCAAAUCCUAGAUCCUAGCUCCGCCUCUGUAAAAAGGUGUGUUUUGAUUACACCAUUUAGUAAUGGGUGGCCUUUUUGCUUUGGUUUCAGGCAGUCUCCUUGGCUAUCUUGACAUGCUCU